GAUGUAGCGUUUGCUUUUUGAUUUGAGGGAGCCAUUUGAGGUUAUCUAAUGUUUUUAGUUAUCACAUAGUUUCUAUACACAUAUUAGUACAUCACAACUUAUAUUAAUGUAAAUAGCAAAUAACUUACCAAUUAGAGUUAUAAAGCAACUUCAACUAAGUGAAUUAUGCAUUUACUUUACAACAUUGCUUUAUUUUAUUGUCGACGGCUUUAGUUCAAGUUACAAAUUUACAAUCGUCUUGUUUCUUGUAGGUACAGUACUUGAUAAGAUACCAAUUGCGGGAGGCUCAGAAUGGCAAGUGAUAGCAAUGUUGAUAAUGUGAAUUCUUCAGAUCCAAAUAUUGUGGAUGAUGAUGACGACGAGGAUGAUGACGACUUGCUACAUUUACAAUUGAAGGAAAGAAUCAGAGAAGCCGAGGAAUUAUCUAGGCAACUGCAACUCCGGAACAAAUCGAUGGAUGAUCUCAAAUUUGUCUCAAAUGCAAAUGUUGAUGUAUCGCAAAAUCUAUUUGUUGGAAACCACGAGAUUGUAGAAAUGGAGAUACAAGGUGAACCUGUAAAAGGAAUCAGUAACAGAAAGGUCACUGAGGACAGUCAAUCCCAAAAUGAACCAAAGAAGAAAUUAUUGAGUAAGAAAAUUAAAAAAACUGGUAAAAAGAAGAGUAAAAAAACUGGAUUACGCAGAAAAUCAGAUAUAAGUGAGCAGUUUAAACGCAAAAAAUCAACUGAAAAUAUUGCUUUAAAAUCAAACACAAAUUCCAGUUGUUGCCUAUCUUCGAAGAAUCCUGUUGAAGAACAAAUCCUGCCUGAGAAGUUAAAAGCCGUGAAAGAUCUCGAGAUCAGAUCAAAAUUAUCAAUGCUGUUUAAUUUGACCUCCAAUGGAAAAGUAGGUCUCCAGCAAUCAAAGGAUAAUAAAUUGAUCCAUCAGAAGAUCACAAGAUCUGUAUCUGCAGUGAUGAUUGACAAGUUAUCACUCAAAAACAUUUCCAAUAGAAUCGAUUCCAAUAUCAAUCUAGAAAUAGAAUCUAGAGAUUUUAUGGAUGAAAAUAUUUUGAAGAUGAAAAUUAGAAAUGCAGAGAAAUAUCGAAGAGAAUUGGAUGAGCCAAAACUGGCCAAUGCUACUGCCCUGAGUCUAUUAUCUAUUAGUGGCAGGUUGAAUUUGGAUUUGCUGAAAAGCAAAAAAAAAGUAAAGAAAAAAAUCCAUGAAUUAUUAGGUGAUAAAAGUGAGGUAAUUGACUCUCAUAGUAAACAAAUGGCAUUGGAUUCUCUUAAUAAAGCAGAAAGCGAAAAUUUGUACAAGCAGGAUCUUCUCUCCAAGUAUAAGAAAUGUGUUGAGAACUUGUUGAAUAAAAAUCAGAAUCUACAAAAAUCUAUUUUCAAACGUAUCCUUUUGAAAGAUAAAAUGAUGUAUAAACAUUGGAAAAGUCAUUCUGCUUUUGUAUUUGGAUUGCCCUAUUUCAAGGAAGGUUAUGAUACAUGUCCCCCGAAUGCUGAUACAAGAUUACGAAUUAAGAGGCAUCAACCAAUCAUUACUCAUUCUGAAAUUAUUAUAUGGUCACCAAAAAACAAAUCCGAUCUCAUUUCAAAUGUUCGAGAAAUUCUCAGAGACAAGAUAAUUGACAAGCUCUCCUCUGGAAUACAUGGAAUUGCAUCAUCGAAAAAGAAAGUAGAUGCAUCCAAUAAAAUCAAAAAGGUGAAGGCAAUGUCUUUGAAAGAGCUUAUGUUACAAGAGAGUAUAAGCCUAGAUGAUGAUGUUGACUGGAAGAUUAUUUCUAUCAACUUAUUCAGCGAAUUGCGCAGUCCCGCUGAGUGCCAGGGACUUUUUCAAAUGUGUUUGAAUCCUACUAAAAAUAAUGGAAAAUGGAGCAAAGAAGAGAAACAAAAAUUGUCAGUAGUUGCAGAGAAACACUACUUUGAAGAUUGGGAUGAGAUUGCAACUGAACUAGGCACCAAUCGCUCAGCAUAUAAUUGUUGUAAGGUUUAUCAAAAAGGGAAUUUAAGUAAAACUGGUAAGUGGACGAAAGAAGAAGAUAGUAAGUUGAUAGAAGCUGUGAAAAAGUUCCGAGUGGGAGAUGAAAUUUCAUGGAUGAAAGUGGCAUUAGUAUUUAAGCGGCGAUCAAUGUGGCAAUUGAAAACACGCUGGCUUCAGGCACUUGCUCCCCAUCGCAAGAAAGGCAAAUUCUCAGUUCUAGAGGACAAACUCAUUUUUAAAGCUGUCGAAAUGCAUGGAUGCGAAUUUAAGAAAGUGGCAACUCAUUUCCCUAACCGUACUCAUUCUCAAUUAAAAGGAAGAUAUCAGAGGAAAAUGGAGAAUCAAUACAUCAAGGGUUACUGGAGCCUAGAAGAAGAUAGAUUACUCAUGCGGCUAGUUGAGGAAAUAGGCGUCAAAAAAUGGAAGGAAAUCAGUGAACGUUUUACAACUAGAACUCGUACACAGGUUAGACAGAGAUAUAACAAAAUUAAAUCUUUCCUAGACGAAAGUCCAACUCAUAAACUUGAGGAUAUGAUUCGAAUUGGCUUCAAUCACAAGAAAGCUACGUCUAGAAGUGAAACUGUAGUUUCCGAUGCAAAUUCUCCUGUCGCUGAGUGUCCAAAUCAAGAAAAGAUUACUGAUGAAGUUGAUGCACCUGGAAAUAGGAUUAGAAAACCAGUAGUUAGCAUAAACUCAGGGGAUAACAAUCGCCCAAUGUCAAAACGAGUGAAAAAAUCUGUUGACACCAGUCAGGAGCCAAGUAGAUUUGAGAAUUUGAUGAGAUUAAUGAACCAAAAACGUAAUCAAAAAACAGCUACUGGUAAAAAGCUUAUAAAACAUUUUCAAGAUACAUAUCCGAUGCAAGCACUUGUUGGUAAGAAAACUUGGGAUGAGAAAGACAUCGUAUCCGAUGCACAAUGCAUUCUCGAUCUCAGUCAUAUUUUAAAAGUGGAUUUCAGCUAUAUUGAUGAUUUGAGUAGACAGAGGGCAGUAUCGCCGUUCAUGCUCCGACAAAUUGUAAAAUGUUUGAUUGAGAAUCACAGUCAUAAACUUUUGAGAUUGAACCCAGUGAUUAGCAAUCACGAUUCUAAAGAUGCUUCUCACGAUUCCAAUGCUGCACUCAGUUCUAGAGAUGCUCCAUCCAGUUCCAGAGAUGCUCCUCUCGACUCCAUUGCUGCACUCAGUUCUAGAGAUGCUCUAUCCAGUUCCAGAGAUGCUCCUCUCGAUUCCAGUGAUGCUUCACUCGAUUCCAACAAUCCUCCAUCCAGUUCCAGAGAUACUCCUGUCGAUUCCAAUGCUGCACUCAGUUCUAGAGAUGCUCCAUCCAGUUCCAGAGAUGCUCCUCUCGAUUCCAUUGCUGCACUCAGUUCUAGAGAUGCUCCAUCCAGUUCCAGAGAUGCUCCUCUCGAUUCCAGUGAUGUUUCACUCGAUUCCAACAAUCAUCCAUCCAGUUCCAGAGAUUCUCCUGUCGAUUCCAAUGCUGCACUCAUUUCCAGAGAUGCUCCUCUUGAUUUCAGAGAUACUCCACUCGAUUCCAACAUUACUACUCUCGAUUGCGAUGUAGCAUGGGAGAGUGAUUCAAAUAUAUCUUUAUGCUCUAUCGACUGUGCUCCUCUUCCAGUUGAAGAGACACUUUGCUCCGAAGCAUUAUUUGAGUACUGGUUUGAUGAAGAUUACUCAUCAUCAAAUAAGGUUACUGAAAAAGUAGAUAUACAAGUUGAAAAGCAGCAGGAGAUAAUAAGAAAUAAUAAGAAGAGGUUUUUGAAAUAUCCUUAUUUGCUACCACCAAAUCUGGCGACAGCAGUCGGCUAUCGAUCGAUCCUUCUCUUGGAGCGCAGACUCAAAGAUAAAGGCGACACCAAAGCAGAUGAUGAUGACGACGACAAUUAUAACCCCGAUGAUGACGUCCAGCCCGACUACUCUCCCGGUAUAUUCCGACCUAAAAAUGAGGAGAAACAGAACGCCUCUAAGAAACAACUUGAUAUGAAGGAAUGUAUCAGGUUCACCAAGGAGGAAGCGAUGCACAUGUUUCAAGAACGACUCCAUGUUCUAUUUGCGGGUCCGAUCGUAAUGAGUGAAACCGCUGACCGAUACUUCAGUAUUACCAAUUUGCCGAUGUAUGAAGGCAGUCCACCAGUAACUGAAAGACGACAACGACAUCUUAAUACACAAGCAUCACAGAACUCCAAGUGGACUGCCUUGGCUAUUAAAUUCGCUGAAGAAAUUCGGACUAUUGUGGGAGAACUUAGUACAGAGACUUUGUUUUCCACGCCAGGUUUAAAUAUUGAACAUAUCAAUCAUAGUUCCUCAAAAUUGCUUGAUUGCCGUAAACCAAGCACUUCAAAAUUAUUUGAAGACUGCGAACUUAGAAGUACUACUACUUCAACAUCCAGUUUCAGCAAAUCAAAUUCCUAUCUUGUAAAAGAACAAGAUCUGCUAGAACGAAACUGUUCAAGAACAGUGAACAACAGCGCCCCCCAACAUCAAUCACUCGACUUCUGUAUACCAAGUACAUCAAACCGGCUGAGCGAAAAUGUUAAUAGUUAUGGUAAUCCUCGUACUCCGCCAUCCACUUUGCCAAUUUUAGAUUGUGACGAAAAUUGGGAACCAAGUUCUUCAAAAUCGUUUGAUUGUCGUCAACGAAGCACUUCAAAACAUUUUGAUAACCGGGAACUGAAUGAAAGGACUUCAGAAACGGACAAUGUGCGAGAUUAUUGUAAUCUUAGUUCUUCGUCAUCCAUUUCGACCAAAGCAAACGUGUGCAUUGACAAAGAACAAAAUUCGCCAAAACGAAAGUGUCCUGUUAAAGUGAAAAUUAGUACUCCAAAAACUAUCGACCUCUGUGUACCAAAUACUAAAAAAAGGCCAAUAAACAAUUCUAAUUGUAAUUCCAGUUCUUCGACAUCCAGUGUGAGUGAAUCGAAUCUCCCAUUUGAACAAAAUCCGGCAAAACGAAAAUGUCUUGUAAAUGUGGAGAACAGUACUCAGAAAACGCUCAAUUUAUGCGAACCUAGUACUUCAAACGGUCAAACUGGAACUUCAAAAAAUGUAAAAUGCAAACUUAGUACCUCAUCUACUUUGGCGUCUUCAGAGGCAUCCUGUGUGAGGAAGAAAUAUCCUAAGAGACGGCAGACAAAACGAAGGAAAUGAGAGAACAGUACGACCUCCACGUACGGAAAAAGGUCCUGCACUGCAAUACAGACUACAUUCUAUGAAACGAAUCACUGUAUAACUUUAAUGAAAUGUACCUGUUGUACAGGUGAAUCACAUGUAAAUUGUGAAACGUGACAAUAGUUUCACAUGAAAUUUGACAGAUUGGUUGACCGUGGCAGCUGCGGAAACGUCUCACAUCACAAUCAUAAUGACAG